UACGUAGGUGGCGAGCGUUAUCCGGAUUUACUGGGUGUAAAGGGCGUGUAGGCGGCUCUGCAAGUCAGAUGUGAAAUCUCCGGGCUUAACCCGGAAACUGCAUCUGAAACUGCAGAACUUGAGUACUGAGAGGAUAGUGGAAUUCCAUGUGUAGCGGUGAAAUGCGUAGAGAUAUGGAGGAACACCAGUGGCGAAGGCGGCUUCCUGGUCUGUAACUGACACUGAGGCGCGAAAGCGUGGGGAGGCAAACAGGAUUA
rnacentral:rRNA from 1 species